UACAGAGGUCUCAAGCGUUGUUCGGAUUCAUUGGGCGUAAAGGGUGUGUAGGCUGCCCUGCAAGUCGGAUGUGAAAGCCCUGGGCUCAACCUGGGAAGUGCAUUCGAAACUGCGGGGCUGGAGUCCUGGAGAGGAAGGCGGAAUUCUCGGUGUAGAGGUGAAAUUCGUAGAUAUCGAGAGGAACACCGGUGGCGAAGGCGGCCUUCUGGACAGUGACUGACGCUGAGACACGAAAGCGUGGGGAGCAAACAGG
rnacentral:rRNA from 1 species